rnacentral:rRNA from 1 species
CCCGGCGACCGGCGCACGGGUGAGUAACACGUAUGGAACCUGCCGCAGCAGGGGGAUAAGCGGAAGAAAUUCCGUCUAAUACCGCGUAACACCGCAGAGGGGCAUCCCUCGGCGGUUAAAGAUUCAUCGGCUGCGGAUGGCCAUGCGGCGCAUUAGCUAGUCGGCGGGGUAACGGCCCACCGAGGCGACGAUGCGUAGGGGUUCUGAGAGGAAGGUCCCCCACACUGGUACUGAGACACGGACCAGACUCCUACGGAAGGCAGCAG